GACGCUGGCGGCGUGCUAUACAUGCAAGUCGAACGAAACUUUCUUACACCGAAUGCUUGCAUUCACCGUAAGAAGUUGAGUGGCGGACGGGUGAGUAACACGUGGGUAACCUGCCUAAAAGAAGGGGAUAACACUUGGAAACAGGUGCUAAUACCGUAUAUCUCUAAGGAUCGCAUGAUCCUUAGAUGAAAGAUGGUUCUGCUAUCGCUUUUAGAUGGACCCGCGGCGUAUUAACUAGUUGGUGGGGUAACGGCCUACCAAGGUGAUGAUACGUAGCCGAACUGAGAGGUUGAUCGGCCACAUUGGGACUGAGACACGGCCCAAACUCCUACGGGAGGCAGCAGUAGGGAAUCUUCCACAAUGGACGCAAGUCUGAUGGAGCAACGCCGCGUGAGUGAAGAAGGUCUUCGGAUCGUAAAACUCUGUUGUUAGAGAAGAACACGAGUGAGAGUAACUGUUCAUUCGAUGACGGUAUCUAACCAGCAAGUCACGGCUAACUACGUGCCAGCAGCCGCGGUAAUACGUAGGUGGCAAGCGUUGUCCGGAUUUAUUGGGCGUAAAGGGAACGCAGGCGGUCUUUUAAGUCUGAUGUGAAAGCCUUCGGCUUAACCGGAGUAGUGCAUUGGAAACUGGAAGACUUGAGUGCAGAAGAGGAGAGUGGAACUCCAUGUGUAGCGGUGAAAUGCGUAGAUAUAUGGAAGAACACCAGUGGCGAAAGCGGCUCUCUGGUCUGUAACUGACGCUGAAGUUCGAAAGCGUGGGUAGCAACAGGAUAGAU
rnacentral:rRNA from 2 species